CAGGUUUCUGAACCUCCUCCAGAGGCGCAAUGAGGCUCUUUUCUGAUUAAUGAUCCUUUUCCAGGCUGUGGGUUUCAGCGGACGGCCGUAUUUCGAUGCCUACAGGUGCCACAUCUGUCUAAAUACUGGAAGUGAAACACCAUGGGAAUGUGGAGCCAUCAGGAAGGAGAGAUGUCCCAGAGUUGGCUCUGCCGAAGUGUCGUGGGUGAUCCAGAAUAUCUUCUUGAGGGUCGUGCCGAAAUGAGCUGAUGUAAUCCAGCGAGUCAGGGCUGCAGACCACCAGAGCUGCGUGCUGCAUAAGAUCCUUGUGGAUGCUUGUGUGCUGCCGUGGAAGGCUGUGCUGCAGGGCAGAACAGCAGCCUCAGUGGCUGUGUGAGAAAAGGCCGCCAAGGAGUCCUAUUUAUAGACGCAGCCAGGCAAUGUGGGGCAUUGUUUCAGGCAUUUACAGUAAAGAGAACUGUCCAAUCUCAAGUCACUACAAAGGUUUAUACCGGUUCCUUCCUGGGGUUGUUUGAAUUUUAAUUAUUUAGCUGGUUAUUUGUGUUGGUUUGCUGCUGGCAAGUCUGCAGAUGUCUGAGCUUCAACCCUGUAACGAGGCUGAACUGAAAGACUAUGACUAAGCUUCAUUUGUUUAUAACACAAUAACAGGCCAUUUAUUUUUAUCUCAUUAUGUCACCUACCUAUCUGGGCUUAAAAACACAGACAUGUUUACUCUGAUCAGAUCAGCGUGAAAAUAGUCAUAAUUGACGUCUGGCGUGUUCUGUACAAAACUGAACAAUUGACGAUUUAAUAUUGGGUUAUAAUACCAAUCUGUGUUUAACAACGGGAUGCAAACUUUUACAUCCAACCCAA